UGGGGGAUAUUGCGCAAUGGGCGAAAGCCUGACGCAGCGACGCCGCGUGGGUGAUGAAGGCCUUCGGGUCGUAAAGCCCUGUCGAGGGGAACGAAACGGUCUCGACCUAACACGUCGAGUCCCUGACGGUACCCCUAAAGGAAGCACCGGCUAACUCCGUGCCAGCAGCCGCGGUAAUACGGAGGGUGCGAGCGUUGUUCGGAAUCACUGGGCGUAAAGGGCGUGUAGGCGGUCCGCUAAGUCUGAUGUGAAAGCCCGGGGCUCACCCCCGGAAGGGCAUUGGAAACUGGCGGACUCGAGUCCCGGAGAGGAAGGUGGGAAUUCCUGGUGUAGCGGUGAAAUGCGUAGAUAUCAGGAGGAAUACCGGUGGCGAAGGCGGCCUUCUGGACGGUGACUGACGCUGAGACGCGAAAGCGUGGGGAGCAAACAGGAUUAGAUACCCUGGUAGUCCACGCUGUAAACGAUGAGCACUAGGUGUCGUGGGUAUUGACCCCCGCGGUGCCGACGCUAACGCAUUAAGU
rnacentral:rRNA from 1 species